rnacentral:tRNA from 1 species
UGGGGAUUCGCCAAGCGGUAAGGCAGCGCCCUUUGAAGGCGCCAUUCGGGGGUUCGAAUCCCUCAUCCCCAGCCA